AACGAACGCUGGCGGCGUGCCUAACACAUGCAAGUCGUGCGAGAAAGUUUCCUUCGGGAAGCGAGUAAAGCGGCGCACGGGUGAGUAACACGUAGGUAACCUACCUUUCAGUCCGGAAUAACCAGCUGAAAAGCUGGGCUAAUGGCCGGGUAAGACCACGACCUCUACGGGGGUCGCGGGCCAAAGGCGGCCUCUUCAUGAAAGCUGAUGCUGAGAGAUGGGGCCUGCGCACCAUAGCUAGUUGGUGAGGUAAUAGCUCACCAAGG
rnacentral:rRNA from 1 species